GACGAACGCUGGCGGCGUGCUUAACACAUGCAAGUCGAGCGAUGAAGUUCCUUCGGGAAUGGAUUAGCGGCGGACGGGUGAGUAACACGUGGGUAACCUGCCUCAUAGAGGGGAAUAGCCUUCCGAAAGGAAGAUUAAUACCGCAUAAGAUCGUAGUUUCGCAUGAAACAGCAAUUAAAGGAGUAAUCCGCUAUGAGAUGGACCCGCGUCGCAUUAGCUAGUUGGUGAGGUAACGGCUCACCAAGGCGACGAUGCGUAGCCGACCUGAGAGGGUGAUCGGCCACAUUGGGACUGAGACACGGCCCAGACUCCUACGGGAGGCAGCAGUGGGGAAUAUUGCACAAUGGGGGAAACCCUGAUGCAGCAACGCCGCGUGAGUGAUGACGGUCUUCGGAUUGUAAAACUCUGUCUUCAGGGACGAUAAUGACGGUACCUGCGGAGGAAGCCACGGCUAACUACGUGCCAGCCGCCGCCGUAAAAC
rnacentral:rRNA from 1 species